rnacentral:rRNA from 1 species
CCUACGGGAGGCAGCAGUGAGGAAUAUUGGUCAAUGGGCGCGAGCCUGAACCAGCCAAGUAGCGUGAAGGAUGACUGCCCUACGGGUUGUAAACUUCUUUUAUAAAGGAAUAAAGUGAGGCACGUGUGCCUUUUUGUAUGUACUUUAUGAAUAAGGAUCGGCUAACUCCGUGCCAGCAGCCGCGGUAAUACGGAGGAUCCGAGCGUUAUCCGGAUUUAUUGGGUUUAAAGGGAGCGUAGAUGGGUUGUUAAGUCAGUUGUGAAAGUUUGCGGCUCAACCGUAAAAUUGCAAUUGAUACUGGCUGUCUUGAGUACAGUUGAGGUAGGCGGAAUUCGUGGUGUAGCGGUGAAAUGCUUAGAUAUCGCGAAGAACUCCGAUUGCGAAGGCAGCUUACUAAACUGCCACUGACGUUGAUGCUCGAAAGUGUGGGUAUCAAACAGGAUUAGAUACCCGAGUAGUC